rnacentral:rRNA from 1 species
AACGAACGCUGGCGGCGCGUCUUAAGCAUGCAAGUCGAGCGGCAAGUCGUAGCAAUACGGCCUAGAGCGGCGGACUGGUGAGUAACGCGUGGGUGACCUACCCUUUGGUUGGGGAUAGCCAUUAGAAAUAGUGGGUAAUACCGAAUACGAUUGCCGGGUUUUGACUUGGCAAGGAAAGGAGCUUUUGCUCCGCCGAAGGAUGGGCCCGCGUCCCAUUAGGCAGUUGGUGAGGUAAAGGCCCACCAAACCAGUGAUGGGUAGCCGGCCUGAGAGGGUGAUCGGCCACAUUGGGACUGAGAUACGGCCCAAACUCCUACGGGAGGCAGCAGCUAAGAAUAUUCCGCAAUGGACGAAAGUCUGACGGAGCGACGCCGCGUGGAUGACGAAGGCCGAAAGGUUGUAAAAUCCUUUUGCCGCUGAAGAAUAAGUGUGGGAGUGGAAUGCCCGCAUGAUGACGUUAGGCGGUGAAUAAGCCCCGGCUAAUUACGUGCCAGCAGCCGCGGUAACACGUAAGGGGCAAGCGUUGUUCGGAAUUAUUGGGCGUAAAGGGCGCGUAGGCGGUUUUGUAAGCCUGAUGUGAAAUCCUACAGCUUAACUGUGGGUCUGCAUUGGGAACUGCAUUACUAGAGUCAUGGAGGGGUAAUUGGAAUUCCUAGUGUACCGGUGAAAUGGGUAGAUAUUAGGAAGAACACCAAUGGCGAAGGCAAAUUACUAGCC